ACUCCUACGGGAGGCAGCAGUGGGGAAUAUUGCACAAUGGGCGCAAGCCUGAUGCAGCCAUGCCGCGUGUGUGAAGAAGGCCUUCGGGUUGUAAAGCACUUUCAGUCGUGAGGAAGGUAGUGUAGUUAAUAGCUGCAUUAUUUGUACGUUAGCGACAGAAGAAGCACCGGCUAACUCCGUGCCAGCAGCCGCGGUAAGUACGGAGGGUGCGAGCGUUAAUCGGAAUUACUGGGCGUAAAGCGCAUGCAGGUGGUUUGUUAAGUCAGAUGUGAAAGCCCGGGGCUCAACCUCGGAAUAGCAUUUGAAACUGGCAGACUAGAGUACUGGUAGAGGGGGUAGAAUUUCAGGUGUAGCGGUGAAAUGCGUAGAGAUCUGAAGGAAUACCGGUGGCGAAGGCGGCCCCUGGACAGAUACUGACACUCAGAUGCGAAAGCGUGGGAGCAAACAGGAUUAGAU
rnacentral:rRNA from 1 species